UUGAACGCUUGCGGCAUGCCUUACACAUGCAAGUCGAACGGUAACAGGUCUUUCGGGAUGCUGACGAGUGGCGAACGGGUGAGUAAUACAUCGGAACGUGCCUAGUAGUGGGGGAUAACUACUCGAAAGAGUGGCUAAUACCGCAUGAGAUCUAUGGAUGAAAGCAGGGGACCUUUGGGCCUUGUGCUACUAGAGCGGCCGAUGGCAGAUUAGGUAGUUGGUGGGAUAAAAGCUUACCAAGCCUACGAUCUGUAGCUGGUCUGAGAGGACGAUCAGCCACACUGGGACUGAGACACGGCCCAGACUCCUACGGGAGGCAGCAGUGGGGAAUUUUGGACAAUGGGCGCAAGCCUGAUCCAGCAAUGCCGCGUGCAGGAUGAAGGCCUUCGGGUUGUAAACUGCUUUUGUACGGAACGAAAAGUCUUGGGUUAAUACCCUGGGAUCAUGACGGUACCGUAAGAAUAAGCACCGGCUAACUACGUG
rnacentral:rRNA from 1 species